rnacentral:rRNA from 1 species
AACGAACGCUGGCGGCAUGCCUAACACAUGCAAGUCGAACGAGACCUUCGGGUCUAGUGGCGCACGGGUGCGUAACGCGUGGGAAUCUGCCCUUGGGUUCGGAAUAACAGUUAGAAAUGACUGCUAAUACCGGAUAAUGUCUUCGGACCAAAGAUUUAUCGCCCAGGGAUGAGCCCGCGUAGGAUUAGCUAGUUGGUGAGGUAAAGGCUCACCAAGGCGACGAUCCUUAGCUGGUCUGAGAGGAUGAUCAGCCACACUGGGACUGAGACACGGCCCAGACUCCUACGGGAGGCAGCAGUGGGGAAUAUUGGACAAUGGGCGAAAGCCUGAUCCAGCAAUGCCGCGUGAGUGAUGAAGGCCUUAGGUUGUAAAGACUCUUUUACCUAGGGACGGAUGAUGACGGUACCUGGAGAAUAAGCCCCGGGCCUAACUUCGUGCCAGCAGCCGC